AAACCACCUUGCAGAUGAUGCAAGGAAACCAGAAGCACAGGUCUAGGAGGUCUGUGGGGUCCUGGGCCACACCACUGCCUUCCCCUCGGGGACCGUGUGUCUGGAAGGAAGAAACACCAGCAGCUCUGACCUGAGCAGAGCUUCAGGGAAGAUGCAGCGGCUCCUGCUCUGCUUGGCCUUUCUUCUGCACCCCAAGCCUGGGACAGGUCUUUAUGUAUUACAGGUAGCAUGGCACAGAGGUACCCCCUUCUUAGAAGACACCACCCCUGGGGCACAGAAUGCUGCUUAGGUUGAUUGGUCUCUCACAUCAUGGAUGAAGAGGAUCUCAGAUGCUUUCCAGCCACGGUCGGGCAGCUCUCAACAGAAUCAAGUCACUAGUCCUCUUCUGUGUGCAGGGAAACUUCUGGGACACAAAGGCCUUUGCCUUGAAUAGGGAGCAGGAAAAGAGAAGUCUUCAACUGGGUCACAAUUUCCCCUGAAAGUUUGUUGGGGCUCCAGUGACCUGAGAAAGUAAUUGUCAGUGGCAGAGCCUUGCUCUUCCCUUUUCCUUCUCUGGCAGCGCACUCCAGCCACUCAGGAGAGAGAGCUACUCAACCUGCCUUGAGACUUCUAGAAAGAAGUGGAAGCACCAGGGUCUCCACAGGGUGGCCAAGGGCGAGAGAUGAAGACAGGCAGGCUUCCCCUUUUCCUCUUGUGUGUCCUUUGAUUUGUUCCUGGUGUCCUCACCACAUCACACCUCACAACACACUUGUGUUUCAUUCGCCCUUGUCCAUGUCUUGCUAAGUAUAUAUGACUAAGGAAUCCAGGAAACAUAUUCAUUUAGAGAAACUGCAAUUCCAGAUGACUGAGCUCUAAUUCUGGAGACAAGCAAAUAGAGGAAAUAGGCUGCCACCAGCUUUCAUGCAUUGUCAGGAAAUUAUUGAAUUUGGCAGGUUUAGGAUUCUAGGUCACAAGCUCCAAGCACCCCUUCAUCACCCUGGGAUCCCAUUUCUGCUCCCAGCACUGACUCAGCGGUUGUCGAGGGGAUGGUAGUGCUGGCUGGGAUGACUCUUUCUUCCCCAUAUCACUGGCAGUGGUGGGCAGCCUCCUGGGCAGCUGGGUGAUGAAACCUAUCGCACCAGCAGGAGAAUGAGACUGUGAAUUCUGACCACCAGCCCCACCCUUCCUUCCUGUCUCUGGGGACGAAAGUCCGGCAGGAAGAAGCACCAGCAGCAACUCAUUGGGCAGGCUUCCGAGGAAGAUGCAGCCGCUCCUGCUCCUGGUGGCCUUUCUCCUACCCCCAGGGCUGGGGCUGGUGAGCGACCAUUCCAACCUCAGAGAUCCGACCCUUCUCACAGACCCUGGAGCCAGACUGCCUAGGCACUGCCUACCUCAGGAUCGCAGGGCAAGUUACUUGAAUUCACAGCUCCCAGGCUCCCCAAACAUAAAAUAGCAAUCAUUUCAAUGCCUUCCUCAUACACUUGCUAUGAGAAGCAAAUUAGUUGGUGUACAUAAAAUUCUUGACUUGCCCCUGGCACCUAGAAUGUGCUAUAUAAAUGUGCUCUCUAAAUUCAUUCUGCUGCCCAUGUGUCAGAGCCGAGGCCAUAAGGAGACAGCAAUAACAGUCCCAUCAGCUCACAUCUAGAAUCUCAAAACCAGUCCCCUGUUGGUCAUGAGCUGACCAUGAGCUGGACUCAGAGGGAUCUGGGAAGUUCCCUGAGAAAGAAAGUACCAGAGAAAUUCAGGGAGAGGCCACUCCAGAAGGCUCUGGAUUUGCCAAUCAGAGAGUAGAGCAUCUCUCCUCAAUAUGUGAGGCUGAAGCUGGCCAUGCCUGGAGCAAGGGUUCUUCUCCUCCUUUGGAGGAGUUGGGAGGAGCUGGGGUCUGGGAUGAGGAGUCAGCAGUGUUUCCUGAAGAACCCUGGAGCUCUCCCCCAAUGUGUGGAGCAGAUCGCAACUCUCACGCCCAACUCCUCUUUCCUCUGCAUCCUCUCAUCUGCCUCCACAUCCUCUAGCCUUUCUGGAGCUACCAAAUUGGUGGCACACCAGUGAGUCCACAAGCACAGAGAUAAGUACCGAAUGUUUCCUUCCAGGGGAGAUCAUCAGAGGCCAAGAGGCCAAGCCUCAUUCCCAUCCCUACAUGGCAUAUCUUCAGACCCAGACUCCAAAGGGUUUGGGCACUUGCUGAGGGUUCCUGGUGCAAGAAGACUUUGUGCUGACGGCAGCUCUCUGCUGGGGAAGGUGAGGAACUAAGGAGAAUCCUAGGUGACCAGUCACACAGGCCCAGAAGAUAUCAUACGGAGGGCCAUCUGAAAGCAGGGUUCUAGCAAUGAAGGGGUGACAAAGAGACCAGGUAGGUCUAGGGGAGAGGGAACAGGCCAGUGUAAAUGAGGAGAAAGGAAGAACACGAUCAAAAAGAGCAAGAGGAGGAAACGGAAGGCACGCAUUGGGGUUCAAAAUAUGAAUUGAAGCUAUCUUUCAAUUUAUUGCAGAAGAAGUAAAAUUCGAGGUCACUAUGUCCCCUGCCCUCCCAUCUCAAACACCCCACCUGUGCCUGCCUUCUCUGAGGGCUGUGCCUUAGGGCAGGAGGAGUGGGGAAGCCCAACUUCGCAUCUGUUCUCAUCACCCACACCGGUACACCAGAGGCCCCCUGGUGUGUCACCAUGAGGCCCAGGGCAUCGUAUCCUAUGAAAAUAGGAUGAGGAUUCCUCCAGCAGUCUUUACCACCAUUUCCAGCUUCCUGCCCUGGAUAACGAGAUCAAGGAGACACUUCAAACAGUGGGCUCAGACUAAGACCCUGCUUGUGACUGACUACUCUGGGGCAGAGGCCAGCUCCAAGGGUGUUGCCAUAGCCUUAAUAAAUGACCACAUCUAGAGUGUAAAUAACCUAUUUCUCAUUUGUUCAGUCAACAUCAUUCAGUACACAACAAAUAUAUGCCAGGACUGAGUCUGAGCAAAUCCAGGAAAAAGGGGUCUCUUCCUCAGGACAAAUGAAUCCCCUACAGUGUCCUGGAGAUCAGGAUGAGCUUCUUCCCUCCUCCAAGCCAUCUAAUCCCUCAUCUCCCCUCCCCUCAUGGCCUUGGGAAGGGAUGGAAGGACACCUCUCUGCCCAGGGCAAGGCUCUCUACUCUCCACCCUACCAGAGACCCCCUAAUAAUAUUAAAGUGCAAUCCACCUUCCAUAUCCCCGGCAGAUUCAACCAAUGGGGAUCGAAAAGCCUAUGAUGGUUGUCUUACUGAACACGUAC
rnacentral:lncRNA from 1 species